GAAUUAGUGUGCUUUAGGAACAAUGAAUUAUCAAACUUGGACUGAGCAUAGCCAAUAGACAAUAAGGUAGUAGAUAGCUUAGAAAACCAUUGUCGACCAGCCUGUUUUAAAACAUAUAAACUUUUCAAUAAUUUGCAUACUUUAUUAGGAGUAAAAGACUGAAAACCAAGUGGCAAGUUCAUAUAGAGUUCCUCAUGUAAGUCACCAUGCAAAUAAGUGUUAUUCACAUCUAAUUGGUGGAGACACCAGUCCUGUGCAACAAAAAUUGCCAAUAACAAUCUCACUGUUGUCAUCUUAGCUACGGGUGAGAAGGUGUCGAAAAAAUCAAUACCCUCAGUCUAUGUAUAUCCCUUCGCUACCAAGAGAGCU
rnacentral:misc_RNA from 1 species